GAUGCCCCUAGAGGCUCUGCUCUGUCACAUGAGCAUCAGCAGGUGGCAAAGAGGAGAGAGAGAGGCUAUGUGCACUUUCAGUGUUCUGACCUGUGGGCAUCUGAGUGAUUAGUAGCCUAACACU
rnacentral:snoRNA from 1 species